CUAGCAAUCUACAAUCUGCAAUGGCAGUUCAAGCUCAAUACCCUUCCAAUAUUCUAUUCCUAAACAGAUUCUUGGUCUUCUUUUGGUCAAUGACAAUGGGAACACUGCUCGAUAUAUUCGCAAACAUCAUCUGAUAAAAGUUCUUUUGAUGGCAGUUAAGGAUUUCAAUCCUGAUUGUGGUGAUUCUGCAUACACUAUGGGAAUUGUAGAUUUGUUGCUUGUAUGUGUAGAACUGUCAUAUAGGCCUGAGGCCGGCAGUGUUAGGCUCAUUAAAGUGUUAUCCACAAUCAGUUGUCAUUGAUGAGAAUUUGUCGCUGGCUUCACUUGAUUCCAUUGUGAUUGCUGAGAAGAAUUACUUUUUAGUGUAGAAGUCCUGCCAUGUGCUCUGUAAGCUGCAUAGACGCUGAUCAGCUGAUGAACUAGCUCAUUUGCUGAAAGCUAUGUUUGUAUAUCUCUGUGUUUAUUUGAGUGGCUAGAACUUGCUCAUUUUUGAAUACUUCCUUUGCUUCAUGCUUUCAGAACUGAUGGGUACAUUUUCUUUGCAGUAAUAUAUCAGCACGUUUGUUUCACAGGACUGGACUGGACUGCUUACAUAAUGAAAUAGCACUAGUCCGGCGUUUGGCUGAACCACGGACUCGAAUAAAUGAGCAUACGGAGUCCAAAAAUUGCCUCCGCACCUUCUUGCACCUUCUCUCCAAGCUUGUGUUCUACAACGCCAAAACUUCGCUAUCGUGCUUCAGUCUCAUCUCUCAAUUAUCUCUUUUGCUUCAAUCUCCAUCGACGUAUUGCUUAUCUUGAUCAGGGAAUUGAUUCUUAGUGUCCUUUUUGUCGAUGCUUUGAGUGGUUCAAAAGACUUUCAACUAUUUCAGGAGUCAUUAAUGAAGGUUCUGCAGGUGUCAUUUAUAGACCAAUGGCUCUUAUGUUAAACACCAAUUAAGCAGCUUUUACUUUGGAUUAUGAAGAAACCUAAGCAUGAUGAAAACAAGGACACAAUUAAACCACAGAUAGUAUAUUCAUUUGGCGACCAUUAUUACUUCAGAAAAGAACUUGGAAUCUUGAACCUUUGACAGGGUAUGUAUUCCUGCUUGACAAGUCUCGUAGAAUAAGAUGGCAAGGCUCCGGAGUGCCUGCACCAGAGGAGGCUUCUUCCCUUCUCCCUUGCACAUCCACUACUCUUGGAACAUUCUUUGCAGCCUGACACGGUCACUGGUGAUAUAGUUUUUAG